rnacentral:rRNA from 1 species
AGACGUAGGGGGCGAGCGUUGUCCGGAAUUACUGGGCGUAAAGAGCACGUAGGCGGGUAAUUAAGUCAGAUGUGAAAGACCAGGGCCCAACCCUGGGGUUGCAUCUGAAACUGGUUAUCUUGAGGGCAGGAGAGGGCAGUGGAAUUCCUGGUGUAGCGGUGAAAUGCGUAGAAAUCAGGAGGAACACCAGUGGCGAAGGCGGCUGCCUGGACUGACCCUGACGCUGAGGUGCGAAAGCGUGGGUAGCAAACAGGAUUAGAUACCCUGGUAGUCCACGCUGUAAACGAUGGAUGCUAGGUGUAAGAGGUAUCGACCCCUUUUGUGCCGGAGUCAACACAAUAAGCAUUCCGCCUGGGAAGUGCGGCCGCAAGGUUGAAACUUAAAGGAAUUGACGGGG